UACGUAGGGGGCAAGCGUUGUCCGGAUUUAUUGGGCGUAAAGAGCGUGUAGGCGGCUUGGUAGGUCCGCUGUGAAAACUCGAGGCUCAACCUCGAGAUGUCGGCGGAAACCACUUGGCUAGAGUCCGGAAGAGGAGAGUGAAUUCCUGGUGUAGCGGUGAAAUGCGCAGAUAUCAGGAAGAACACCUAUGGCGAAGGCAGCUCUCUGGGACGGUACUGACGCUGAGACGCGAAAGCGUGGGGAGCGAACAGG
rnacentral:rRNA from 1 species